GAUGAACGCUGGCGGCGUGCCUAACACAUGCAAGUCGAACGAUGAAACCGCCCUCGGGCGGACAUGAAGUGGCGAACGGGUGAGUAACACGUGACCAACCUGCCCCUUGCUCCGGGACAACCUUGGGAAACCGAGGCUAAUACCGGAUACUCCUCGCCCCCCUCCUGGGGGGCCCGGGAAAGCCCAGACGGCAAGGGAUGGGGUCGCGGCCCAUUAGGUAGUAGGCGGGGUAACGGCCCACCUAGCCCGCGAUGGGUAGCCGGGUUGAGAGACCGACCGGCCACAUUGGGACUGAGAUACGGCCCAGACCCCUACGGGAGGCAGCAGUGGGGAAUUUUGCGCAAUGGGGGAAACCCUGACGCAGCAACGCCGCGUGCGGGACGACGGCCUUCGGGUUGUAAACCGCUUUCAGCAGGGAAGAAAUUCGACGGUAC
rnacentral:rRNA from 1 species